rnacentral:misc_RNA from 1 species
GAUGAAGAACGUAGCGAAAUGCGAUAAGUAAUGUGAAUUGCAGAAUUCAGUGAAUCAUCGAAUCUUUGAACGCACCUUGCGCCUUUUGGUAUUCCGAAAGGCACACCUGUUUGAGCGUCAUGAAUACCUCAAUCUCCAUCUUUUCUUCGGAUUGAUGGGUGACUUGGAUGUUGAGCCCUGCUGGUAAGCUAUAUCAGCUGGCUUUAAACUUAUUAGCCGGCUCUGUACUGGAUCGGUUUGACUCGACGUGAUAAUAUUAUCGUUGAGGAUGCAUGUCUCAUGCAGCCGGAAAGUAUCAAAGCAGCUUCUAGCUUGCCUUUAGUGCACUUUUACAUUUUAGACCUCAGAUCAGGUGGGACUACCCGCUGAACUUAAGCAUAUCAAUAAGCGGAGGA